UUGUAGAGCACUCCGUUGGAUGAUACCUCUCUUAACAACACAAGCAGCUCUGCUCCCCGUGUUUCCUUCAUUGCAUGUGCCUCCGUUUUGUAUUUUCAAGGCUGGGAGAGGCUAUCCUACCUAAGGUCUUAGAAAUGCUUUCCAGUGUCAGAUCAAAUUAGUGUUUCCUAUGACUGAAGCCACUGAAACUUUGUGUGAUGAGGAGGAACGUCACGAGAGCAUGGAAGAAAAUUGCCUGCUGAUGACAAUUUAUGAUGACGUAUGGUGUUAUCUCCUGGAGCUGCCUCCUUUUCCAGCACUUCUGCGAGUAUGCUUUCGGUCAUGCCUUACACUACACCUGCCCAUGGUCCUGGAGUGCCCGACGGCUCACCAGAGCCGCAGCUCUCCAUGUGGCAGGAGAAAUGGCUGCGCCGUUGCACCUUCAACUAGAGCAGCCGGCUCAGCUGUCUCAGCCUUUGAAAGCGAAACAAGGAUAAAAGAACACCAAAGAGAAACAGCGGCGCUCCAUGCCACAAAAGCCCAGAGCCUCGCGCUGAGCAAGUCGCCCUCAAAUCACCCGCGGCGUGGAAGCGCGUCGUGCCCCGCUCACGUGGGACGGGGCGAUGGAGAUCCAAAUGGGAACGGACGCUCGGGUAAGCGAGUGCUUCGAGCCCGGUCUGGUUCAUGUCUGAUGCAACAGGCGCUGGGGAGGCCAAGGAGAGGGAUUUCUGUUCCACGAAGUGUUCCCGGUGCUGGGUGGGAUGCAAAUCCCUCCGGCUUGCAGCUAGCAGCAGAGAGUGAGUUCCUUGGUCCCUGGCAAAAUUAUUUAUUUGUUGCUGUCGUAUGCUGCUUAAAUACUUGCUUUCUGACAACAGUUUUCCUUCUCCAUUAG
rnacentral:lncRNA from 1 species